rnacentral:misc_RNA from 1 species
AAUUCUCAACCUUUACCAGUUUUGUGUUAAGGCUUGGAUUUGGAGGUUAUUGCUGGUUUUUAUCAAAGUCAGCUCCUCUGAAAUACAUUAGCAAAAUCUUAUGUGAUUUCAUCUUUUGGUGUGAUAAUUAUCUAUGCCACUUGUUAUGACACAUUUGUUGAGAUUUAGCUUCAAAUAGUCCAUUGUAAUGGACAAAUUUAUUGACAAU